UAGGGAAUCUUCGGCAAUGGACGAAAGUCUGACCGAGCAACGCCGCGUGAGUGAAGAAGGUUUUCGGAUCGUAAAACUCUGUUGUUAGAUAAGAACAAGGACGUUAGUAACUGAACGUCCCCUGACGGUAUCUAACCAGAAAGCCCCGGCUAACUACGUGCCAGCAGCCGCGGUAAUACGUAGGUGGCAAGCGUUGUCCGGAUUUAUUGGGCGUAAAGCGAGCGCAGGCGGUUUCUUAAGUCUGAUGUGAAAGCCCCCGGCUCAACCGGGGAGGGUCAUUGGAAACUGGGAGACUUGAGUGCAGAAGAGGAGAGUGGAAUUCCAUGUGUAGCGGUGAAAUGCGUAGAUAUAUGGAGGAACACCAGUGGCGAAGGCGGCUCUCUGGUCUGUAACUGACGCUGAGGCUCGAAAGCGUGGGGAGCAAACAGG
rnacentral:rRNA from 1 species